UACGAAGGGGGCUAGCGUUAAUCGGAAUUACUGGGCGUAAAGCGUGCGCAGGCGGUUUUGUAAGCCAGAUGUGAAAUCCCCGGGCUCAACCUGGGAAUGGCAUUUGGGACUGCAAGGCUGGAGUGUGGCAGAGGAGACUGGAAUUCCUGGUGUAGCAGUGAAAUGCGUAGAUAUCAGGAGGAAUACCGAUGGCGAAGGCAGGUCUCUGGGCUGACACUGACGCUCAUGCACGAAAGCGAGGGAGCAAACAGG
rnacentral:rRNA from 1 species